AUGAACGCUGGCGGCGUGCCUAAUACAUGCAAGUCGAGCGAACGGACGAGAAGCCUGCUUCUCUGAUGUUAGCGGCGGACGGGUGAGUAACACGUGGAUAACCUACCUAUAAGACUGGGAUAACUUCGGGAAACCGGAGCUAAUACCGGAUAAUAUUUUGAACCGCAUGGUUCAAAAGUGAAAGACGGUCUUGCUGUCACUUAUAGAUGGAUCCGCGCUGCAUUAGCUAGUUGGUAAGGUAACGGCUUACCAAGGCAACGAUGCAUAGCCGACCUGAGAGGGUGAUCGGCCACACUGGAACUGAGACACGGUCCAGACUCCUACGGGAGGCAGCAGUAGGGAAUCUUCCGCAAUGGGCGAAAGCCUGACGGAGCAACGCCGCGUGAGUGAUGAAGGUCUUCGGAUCGUAAAACUCUGUUAUUAGGGAAGAACAUAUGUGUAAGUAACUGUGCACAUCUUGACGGUACCUAAUCAGAAAGCCACGGCUAACUACGUG
rnacentral:rRNA from 1 species